GACGUAGGGCGCGAGCGUUGUCCGGAUUUAUUGGGCGUAAAGAGCUCGUAGGCGGUUUGUCGCGUCUGCUGUGAAAACGCGAGGCUCAACCUCGCGCCUGCAGUGGGUACGGGCAGACUAGAGUGCGGUAGGGGAGAUUGGAAUUCCUGGUGUAGCGGUGGAAUGCGCAGAUAUCAGGAGGAACACCGAUGGCGAAGGCAGCUCGCUGGGACGGUACUGACGCUGAGGCGCGAAAGGCGUGGGGAGCAAACAGG
rnacentral:rRNA from 1 species